UUUUUUUGUACCGUUGUGUUGGCACCUUAGUUGGGACUUGAACUCGCCUCGUUUUAUCUGCAGUCAAGCCACCUGUUCCUGUUAUGCUAGCAAGAAGCGCUGAUACCGGAAGGGGUAUUUUAAUGACUAUCAGCCGAUAGUUCGACUAGACUUGACUCAGACUCUUUACUGACUAAAUAAACCAAUGUCUAUGGACAAUUACACACACUAUAUACAUGCUAAAAAUUUGAUGGAAUAAAGCCAUAUUUUAGUAUGUAUUUCCAUUCCCCCAUCAUAUAUGUUCCAUAUUGGGCUAGAUAUAUUAUUCUGAUCCUUCUUCGUGUUUUUAUUUUCAAUUUCAGUGGGGGUGCAUAUGGAACUCUUGCCAAUGCCCUAAAUUCAUUAUUUUCCCACCAUUUUGAGUCAGAUUUUUUAUGAAUAGAUCUGUUUAUGACAUUUCAGGAGAAAGAGAGGGAGAACCAAAACUACCUGUCCUGGCGUCACACUUGAGGAGAUGAAGUCGGUGAAUAUGACCUAGCCCGGGGGAGUUUCCAGAAGAAGGCCCACAACCGCUGGUCGCCAGGAGUGGAGGUCCUUUUUAAUUGUUGUUGCCCUACAUGUGCGUGCCAGGCGGCAUCAGGCAGUAGCCCUGGUAGAAGCACCAUUAUCAUCUUGAUACCAUCAUCCAGACUCUCAUCAGCUGUAUCAUUAUAGGUGGACUAAAAGAACAAUAUUCAUGCAGAUAUAAUGAUGCUGAAAUGGAAGGUGUCCUGAAUCUGCACCCAUUCAUCUGGUUUUGUAACACCCUUUAUAGCGCUAUUGGAACCGGCUCCCUACCAGUAUAACAUCGAACAGAUUGGAAGAAUAAAGGCCAAUGGGAAGUGUUUUUUAUACCCCUACUUGCCACACAGCAGUCUGUGGUUAAGCGCAAUCUAAACUGGACUAAUGUAAUGCUCUUAAUGCUUGAAUUAGGGUGAUCUGGACCGACUGCAGAUAGUGCAGAAUGCUGCAUCUAUUGUGCCAUUUGCCAUACGCCCACAUUCCUGAUCAUCUUUGCUCUGGACUUAGAACAACACUGUCACUGCCUGGUAAUUUGAAUUUUAAAAAAAUCUCAUGUGCUGACUAGGAUGGCAUCUCAAAGUGCUUUGUAUCUCACAAAAUAAUGUGUUGUGUAAAAGCGAACAGGCAUUGAGGUCAAGCAUAAGGGUAACCAUGUAUAUGGCCUUUGAUUACUUUUUAACAAAACUGAAAAAUUCAUCAAAGUAGGACAAGGGAUAAUAAAGUAAUGUAUGACAUUCUAAGCUCUGCAUUAUUUUAGUGAAAGACCUCUAAGCAUAUGCAAGUAGCAGGCUGAUGAUGUAAUGUCAUACAGACGUACAUGUACAUGUAUCCCCAACUUAUUAUUUUGUAUAUAAAAUUGUGUAUUUAAAUUGGAUUGUAAACUGUAUUGAUGUUACUUACCUGUAUUGAUUAUUGCUGGAAGUUCUUUUGCUACAUGGGAUUGGAAGACAUACUUAUUACACAUAUGAAAUAAUUAUUAUUUCAUCUGGUAACAGAACAAUAAAAAUGUGGGCAUGAUAUCAUAAACUUAUCUACUUGCAUGUGUUAAUGACCAAUUUUUGUGUUAUUUUUUGUAAUUAUUUUUUAUCAGAUUUUGAUAAAAUUUUCACUAUUUUGCAUGGUAAAAAUUACUUUAUUUAUCAUAGAUAUAAUUAUGAUGAUCCCGGAUCAUAUACAAGUACCCCUUUAAAGAUAAGUUACCAUUUGUAGUAACAAUCUUAAAAUGAGUUCGAACAGAAUCCAAUAGAAUUACCAGCAAAGUGUCUGUAUGUAACAGAUACGUGCCAAAUAGCUCGGGAAGAAAAUGCGUAAUUACUGAGAAAUGAGCAAAAUAAGCAUGUAAAUCUAUCAAAUGUCGGGUAUUUUUUCGAAUCAAUUAUGAUACACUGUCCUGCCUCACAUAUGUUUUUUCUGUGUUAGUGAUCAUCAGAAUUAUUGAUUUUAAGUUCAAAAUUCAUGAUUUUACAAAGAUACAAGUUUACAUUAAUGUACCAGAUCUAGAUUAUGUACAAUACUUUGACAAUUAACCUUAAUUUAAAAGACGUUCUCAAGAAAUAAUUGUUUGCUGCAACUACUCUCUUUUACCCCUUAGUGUUAGUAUAAUACAACCACAAACUUUUCAUAAGGGUUGAUGUACAUGUAUGAUUCUUUCACCAAAAUGCGAGCUUCCAUAAAUCCUGAAAUUAUUGCAACUCAGGUAUUUAUUUUUACAUAAAUAUAU